GCUGGGAUUACAGGCAUGUGCCAUGGUACCCGGCCUUUUUAUUCUAAUUUUAAUAGAUGACCUAGUAUGUCAGCACCAGUUUUGAACUCAUCCUUUCUCCACUGAUCUCUAACAGUCGCUUUUUCAUAUACUAAGUUUGCCUACAUAUAUUAUGUACUCACUUUUAUUUACAUUUAGGAAAUUUUCUGUAUCAGCAAAAAUCCCUGAAACCAAAUGGUGCCAGAAGUGUUGUGUUGUAAGAAAUCCUUACACGGGCCAUAAAUACCUAUGUGGAGCACUUCAGACUAGCAUUGUUCUAUUAGAAUGGGUUGAACCAAUGCAGAAAUUUAUGUUAAUUAAGCACAUAGAUUUUCCUAUACCGUGUCCACUUAGAAUGUUUGAAAUGCUGGUAGUUCCUGAACAGGAGUACCCUUUAGUUUGUGUUGGU
rnacentral:sRNA from 1 species